GAGGAGACAAAAUAAAUUCAAGACUCAACAAUUAGACAUUUCAUUUUUAAUUAAAUUGUAACUUAGUUGAUUAGAAACUUUAGAUUAAGCUUUUGUGCAUUGGGCCCUUUUUAGUGGCAAAUUUGUAAAAGCCCAAAACUUUGUGAGACACAUGUCCUACCCUAGGGUUUUUGGGUGGACCCUACCCUAUAUUUUAAGACACACACGGUCCUAGGAAUCAAGGGGGGAACCAGCCGC
rnacentral:lncRNA from 1 species